UGGUGAUGAAAUCCAAACUGAAAACAGCUGGAAUUACCGUCAGAUUUUCGGUGGUGACGAUCGGUUUUCUGAAC